rnacentral:lncRNA from 1 species
GUGAGUCAUUAAUCCAAGAACAGAAAGACAAAACCUAGAACACUUGAAAAGAAAGUUGCAGCUAAUGAAAAGCGGACUUAUUCAGCAGAACCCCCAAGAAGAUGCAGACUAAGAAAUGCCAAUGCUUUGAUGGGUACAAGGAAGAAAUAGGACUAAGACAAGACAAAUAAUGGAGGACUUACAUGGCAGAGGCAACAAGGAGAAGUGCAGAGACAAGGUGGGGAAAGCCCCUUACAAAACCAUCAGAUCUCGUGAGAACUCAUCCACAUCACAAGAACAGCAUGAAGAAACGGAACAAGGGGAAUGCAAUCUCACAGGAUGGAAAUAACCUGUGGUGAAUUGUUGCCAUCCAGAUCCACUUUUAAGUCCACAUGGUUCAUUCAUUUUGGACUAGAUCCUGGUACAGCCCAGUGAACUGAUAUUCUUGAAAUCAGGCACAGAGGCUCUGAAGUAAUGCAUUACAUUUGCAUCCAUGAUUUGCUUAAAAUGUUCCAUUUAGCCUUUCCUCCCAGGAAACAAAGCCAGCAGUAUUUGAUUAUUGAAUAGCUCGUUUUGGAUGCUUAGUUUGAGAAGAUUUUAUUAAGAUUAUGGGAAACUUGAAUUUUACAAAAUGAAUCAUGAGUUAUAUUUCAGUUUUGAUUUGUCUCCAAGGGUUGAAAUACAUAGAAGUCUAGGAUACAUUAUAUAUUAGCUCUAUUUUAGCAUGCAUUUAAUGCAAUCACAGGCAAAAAUCAAAUGCUUUAAAGAAAAAGAUUGCAGUUUUAGAAAUGAAGGAUGUGAAAAAGGACGAAUCUAUAUAAAUAAAAGUGAACUUAGAGUAAUAACAUGCAAUAUAGUCUAUGUAGAUAUGCAUAUUUUAAUUGUAUAUUACUAUUUGUCCCAUCACAAUAAUUGGUUUAAACAAUGGUGUAUUUAUAUGUGUAAAACAAAGUUUGGUAUGUGUGUGCACACAUAUACACACAGAAACACACACACACACUUUUCUAAUCAACUAACAUUUAAGAAAUACCACUGAAGGAAAUAUUAAUGACAGAAAGAGCUUUUCUGCACACAGAAAAGCACGCACACUCCUAUGCAGCAUACAAAUAGGUAAGAGUACAUGUUUUCCCUGAAAGAAGAGCAAGAGACCAACGGAAUAAGCCCCUUUACUGGGUUCCCAUAUGGCUGAAUGGUCUCAAUAUCUCAAUCUUUAGAACAUACCUCAGCAUCUCCACAUCUCCUCCUACCUCUGUCCUGUGUUGCUGGGACACAGGGGCAGGAAAUGGAUGCAUCCCUUCCCAUGCACGCCCAAACAGCUCCUCAACUCAAUCUCAGCCCCAUGCCUCUUCUAUUCUUCUGUGAGGAAGUGGCUUCUCAUGACCUAUCCGAGAGCUCAGCACAUGUUAAGUUCUCACACAGGCUUAAGCCAACAUAAUCGUCAACAUUAAAAAGUAACAACAUAAUAUUUGGGCGGAUGAUGUUUUCUGUUCAUAAUCAACAGUGACUUCUCAGAGUGGCCUUUUCUGACCUCUCUAUCUAAAUAGUACUUUACGUUUUCUCUAUCCCCUCCCUAAAUUACUCUGGUUCAUUUUUUGUCAAAGAAUUUUUACUGCUGAAUAGUGUCAUAGACCUAUUCAUUUAUUUAUUUUCUCACUCUUCCCAGUAAAAUAUAAGAUGCGUGGAGAAGAAGUUUGUUUUGUUCCCCUCUGCCAUAUGGGAAAGAACAGUGGUGGAAUUUAGUAGAUGCUCAAUAAAUAUUUGUUGAUUUAAUAAAAAAAUUCAUUUGUUGGGUUUCUUAAGUUGGCUUAUCCCAGAUGCAGAUCCAAAGCCGAGGAUGGAGUUGCAAGUGAUGCAUUAAGGAUGUGUUUCCAGGAGCAUCCAGAAAGGAGACAGGGACAUGGAGCAGGACAGGAAAGGCGAAGGAAGCAAGAGUUUCAUUUUAGGUGGACACAGGUAGUUCUCAUGAGAAGACCUGAGAUGUAAAUUUCAACUCUAAGUUUUUCACCUGGAAGCAAAGGAACUAUACUUCCCACCAAAAAAUACCUAAUUACUCGGAGCCCCUGAUUGGGAGGGAGGUAGUAAACUUUCCCUCCUAGUUUGUUGUUGCCACACACCUCACUUAAUUUUCUUGAACCACUUCGCUCUUUAGAUGGUGACAAUUAACUAAGUUGAGCAACUAAUGUUUCAAAAAGAUAGAGGGUCCCCUAUUUUCCUAUUAAAUAAAGCAUAUACUUUAAAGUGGCCUAAUUUUUACACAGUGUCAUCCGGUCUGUGAAGCACUGUCAUAUGUAGUACUGAUAUCCUUUGAUUCUCAAAACAACCCUUUAAGCUAGAAGUAAAAAUGUUCUUUCUUUCUCUUGCCACAUUUUGAAAAACUGAGAUCCAGAUAGGUUAAGUUUUAGUAGUUGAGCCAAGAUUAAAAAAGGAGCUUGAUUGCAGAAAUUAUUUAUGUUCUUACUGCUAUACCAAGCUGUCACACAAAGAGAUUAUUCUGCCUUUAUUUUCUUAAUCACUAAGAUUCUAAAAAUAAAAAAACUCCAGGCCAAGUAAGUGGGGAAGAAGAAAUCAAACCAGAUUAAUGAGGGAAAUGUUAACGACAGAAAGAGCUUGGAGGCUCUCCAAUCACAUUGAGCAGGGGCUGCUGAUUCCAUCUGUGCUGAAGAAUAGUGUGACACUGCGCCACCCCCAUGCUACCCGCCCCUCUGUUUAGUCCCUCAUACUUACCAUGUGAGUUGUCUUUAUUCCAUUGAAUCCUACUCUAAAUUCUGCAUUUUAAGAUUUUCAAGAUUUCACUAAUGGAAAAGAAUUUGAAAAAUAACAUUUGAAGAAUGGUAGUGGGCUUUAAUAGUCAAUGAAGAGUGAAAAGAAGUAUUUGUUUGGACAAAAACCGAAUCCAGAAAACAGCUGAUGACCUACAUACUAGCUGGAAUGACUUUGCCUUCAGGUUAUAAAAGCACUUUGUAUCUAUUUAUUUGUCUGGCUACUGUGAAAAUAAACACUUCUAUGCAAUCAAAAUCUGAACUUCUGAAAAAUAAAGUUUUUUAACACCUAAGUAUGUUGGCACUUCACAGGUAUAAAUACUGAUGUUUUUUGGAACUCUUCUUUCGUAUUUAAAUAUGAGAGGUCACAGUAAAA